AUUGAACGCUGGCGGCAGGCCUAACACAUGCAAGUCGAGCGGCUGAACGGAGCUUGCUUCUUGUUUCAGCGGCCGACGGGUGAGUAAUGCCUAAGUACCUCCUUGGUUGUGUGGGCUUACGUCCGGAAACGGGCGCUCAUACCGCAUUCGUCCUGAGGGCGUACGUGGGGGAUCUUCGGAUCUUCCGCUAUCACAUUAGCCGAGGUCGGAUUAGCUAGUUGGUGGGGUAAAGGCCUACCAAGGCGACGAUCCGUCACUGGUCUGAGAGGAUGAUCAGUCACACUGGAACUGAGACACGGUCCAGACUCCUACGGGAGGCAGCAGUGGGGAAUAUUGGACAAUGGGCGAAAGCCUGAUCCAGCCAUGCCGCGUGUGUGAAGAAGGUCUUCGGAUUGUAAAGCACUUUAAGUUGGGAAGAAGAGCAGUAAGUUAAUACCUUGCUGUUUUGACGGUACCAAAAGAAUAAGCACCGGCUAACUUCGUG
rnacentral:rRNA from 1 species